UUCCGGAAGCUCAAUCUUACAGUCGGCGACGGUGAAGCAUCUUGCACUUUCGUCGAUUGAAUUCUGGUGAUUUGUUCGGGUGCCGUGUCGUCGGCUUAAUGAAACGCACUGCAUCGUGGCGUUCGCCCUAACGCCUUUCAACGGCGGGCGUUAGCGACAACGAAGCAUCUAGCGUCGUCGCUGACAGCUUUCGGGAAACGUUGUGUUGUAUUUCGUACGGGUGCUGUAACCGCGCUUAAAGUAAUGCGUUGCAUCAAGGCAUUCGCCCGGACGUUAUACUCACAACUACGCCGUUGGAAAUGAUGGGUACCUGUCUCGCAUCUGAGAAGAGCUACUGCAUUGCCAGGUUUAAUGAACCGCGUUGGCGGUCGCCCGCACUGUCCCCCGAAAACGUUGUUGAAAUCACUAUGAAAUUAUGGCAUGACUUAGGUCGCUGCCAGAUGAAAACGAUUAACCACUCUAAGCGGUGAAUCACUCGGCUCGUGUGUCGAUGAAGAGCGCAGCCAGCUGCGUUAAGUAAUGUGAAUUGCAGGACACAUUGAACAUCGAUAUCUUGAACGCAUAUUGCGGCCUCGGGUAUUCCCGAGGCCACGCCUGUCUCAGGGUCGGUUGAACGUCGAUCGCGAGAAGCAUUUUGCUCGCGCAUUGAACGUCGAAGCGUGACAGCCUCAGUCGCACUCUUGCAACGCAUCCGCAAAGUGUGCAGUCAAUCGCUGCGUCGUUUGAAAAUCAGACUGGUUCAACCGUCAGUUCGAGCUCGAGGCUCGACUAGUCAGGACGGUGGCUCGAACGCAUCAGAGUUACACGAUCUUUUGGCUAGUCUGGCCACGAACUGGCGGUUUAGACCGGCGAUGUGCUUCGAAGCACGUUGCACUGUGCAAAUUUCGAUUCUUUCGACCUGAGAUCAGACGAGAUUACCCGCUGAAUUUAA
rnacentral:rRNA from 1 species